UACAGAGGGUGCGAGCGUUGUCCGGAAUCACUGGGCGUAAAGGGCGCGUAGGCGGCUUGAUAAGGUUGCGGUGAAAGCCCGGGGCUCAACCCCGGGUCGGCCGUGGCAACUGUCGAGCUGGAGCACUGUAGAGGCAGGUGGAAUUCCGGGUGUAGCGGUGGAAUGCGCAGAUAUCAGGAGGAACACCGGUGGCGAAGGCGGGUCUCUGGGCCGAUACUGACGCUGAGGAGCGAAAGCGUGGGGAGCGAACAGG
rnacentral:rRNA from 1 species